UGGAUUAGAUACCCCAGUAGUCCACGCCCUAAACGAUGCGCGCUAGGUCUCUGGGUUUAUCUGGGGGCCGAAGCCAACGCGUUAAGCGCGCCGCCUGGGGAGUACGGCCGCAAGGCUGAAACUCAAAGGAAUUGACGGGGGCCCGCACAAGCGGUGGAGCAUGUGGUUUAAUUCGAAGCAACGCGAAGAACCUUACCAGGCCUUGACAUGCUAGGGAACCUAGGUGAAAGCCUGGGGUGCCCGCGAGGGAGCCCUAGCACAGGUGCUGCACGGCCGUCGACAACU
rnacentral:rRNA from 1 species